rnacentral:misc_RNA from 1 species
AAGGAGUCUAAUAUCUAUGCGAGUGUUCGGGUGUCAAACCCCUACGCGUAAUGAAAGUGAACGGAGGUGGGCACCGCACGGUGCACCAUCGACCGGUCCUGAUGUCCUCGGAUGGAUUUGAGUAAGAGCAUAGCUGUUAGGACCCGAAAGAUGGUGAACUAUGCCUGAAUAGGGUGAAUCCAGAGGAAACUCUGGUGGAGGCUCGCAGCGGUUCUGACGUGCAAAUCGAUCGUCAAAUUUGGGUAUAGGGGCGAAAGACUAAUCGAACCAUCUAGUAGCUGGUUCCUGC